AUUUUCCUCCUGAUCGAACAAAUGCUUUCCGUUAAAAUCCCCAAACCGAGAGAAGUGGAAAAAGUCCCUGCACGGAGCCGCGGAUAGCUGGUGGAACACGAGCGUUUUCCCUCUGUACCAUCACACCGGCUGGCGCACAGAUUUUGUACUUGCAGGGUAUUUCUGUUGUGAUGUCGUCGGUGGUCCCCUGAUAAUAUAGUUGGAAAAAUAAGCAUCAGCACUGAGGAAUGGAUGGAGGACAAUAGAAGAGCUAGCUUCUUCCAUCCCAGGAGACAAGGAAUAAAUAUUGUAUCUUGCCUAAUAAGGAACCGACACUUUCAAAAUGUUUUACCAUUUUUGUGGACAUUUUCUUUUUGCUCGUUUGUAUUUUCAGACCGUUUGCUUUCUUCGUUUUACCCACAUGGCUUAAUCCAGGCUAUUACAAAACGAAUCGGAUUUUCAACAAAAAUAAGAGCGAUAGGGUUGGAGCUCGUGAGGGAAACGGCGACUCAGACUCUUUUGUCGGUUUGGAUCGAGCCGCUUCAAGCCGUGCUCACGCGCUGA
rnacentral:lncRNA from 8 species